rnacentral:lncRNA from 1 species
CAGGCAUCCCACCUGAUGAAAGUCCCCGCCAGGGUGGUCCUGCAGGGCCCUACUAUCAGUCACAGCGGCUAGCUCUGUAUGCCCAGGCCACAGAAGCAUUGCUGAAAUCUGGAGCUGCCUAUCCCUGUUUCUGUUCACCACAGCGGGUUCUGGACCCAGCAUAUAUGGAGAGGAUCCUCCUGCUGCGACAGGUGUGGGUUUAGGGCCUCCUUAACCCCUUCCAGGGUUUCCCAGGCUCUCACAGUGCAUGUGGUGACUGCCUCUCUACCCAGGGUCACAUCAGCCGUCUGCAGGAUCUGGUCUCCCCAGUGUACUCCUACUUAUGGACCCGCCCUGCUGUCCAUCGAGCAGAGCUGGGCGCCAGCUCGGAAAAGUUGGAUGUGAUUGCCAAACACUUGCUGGGGUAAGUGCUCACAUACCUGGUUAAGGGUUGGAUGCACCCUUCUCAUUCUUUGCCCUGGCUUCUGUCCACCAGACAUUGGCUCUUGCUCCCCAUCACAAAACUGUGACAAGCU